GAUGAACGCUGGCGGCGUGCUUAACACAUGCAAGUCGAACGAUGAAGCCCAGCUUGCUGGGUGGAUUAGUGGCGAACGGGUGAGUAACACGUGAGUAACCUGCCCUUAACUCUGGGAUAAGCCUGGGAAACUGGGUCUAAUACCGGAUAGGAGCGUCCACCGCAUGGUGGGUGUUGGAAAGAUUUAUCGGUUUUGGAUGGACUCGCGGCCUAUCAGCUUGUUGGUGAGGUAAUGGCUCACCAAGGCGACGACGGGUAGCCGGCCUGAGAGGGUGACCGGCCACACUGGGACUGAGACACGGCCCAGACUCCUACGGGAGGCAGCAGUGGGGAAUAUUGCACAAUGGGCAAGCCUGAUGCAGCGACGCCGCGUGAGGGAUGACGGCCUUCGGGUUGUAAACCUCUUUCAGUAGGGAAGAAGCGAAAGUGACGGUACCUGCAGAAGAAGCACCGGCUAACUACGUG
rnacentral:rRNA from 1 species